GAUGAACGCUGGCGGCGUGCCUAAUACAUGCAAGUCGAGCGAACGGACGAGAAGCUUGCUUCUCUGAUGUUAGCGGCGGACGGGUGAGUAACACGUGGAUAACCUACCUAUAAGACUGGGAUAACUUCGGGAAACCGGAGCUAAUACCGGAUAAUAUUUUGAACCGCAUGGUUCAAAAGUGAAAGACGGUCUUGCUGUCACUUAUAGAUGGAUCCGCGCUGCAUUAGCUAGUUGGUAAGGUAACGGCUUACCAAGUCAACGAUGCAUAGCCGACCUGAGAGGGUGAUCGGCCACACUGGAACUGAGACACGGUCCAGACUCCUACGGGAGGCAGCAGUAGGGAAUCUUCCGCAAAGGGCGAAAGCCUGACGGAGCAACGCCGCGUGAGUGAUGAAGGUCUUCGGAUCGUAAAACUCUGUUAUUAGGGAAGAACAUAUGUGUAAGUAACUGUGCACAUCUUGACGGUACCUAAUCAGAAAGCCACGGCUAACUACGUG
rnacentral:rRNA from 1 species